UUACUAAAUUUAGUCAAAUCAAAGUCAAAACAAAAAAUAUUGUUACAUAAAUGGUAAAUUAUAAUUUUUAAUCAUAAAAGAUAUUUUAUUCUAUAAAAUAAACCCAAUACAUCCCUAUAAAUAACACUAACAUCACAACUUAUCAGCCACAUUCUCAUAUUUACUAAGUUAUAUAUAUUCUCUGAUAAAUAUCCAAACAUCAAACCAUGAAAACAAAUGCAUGCAAAUUCCUUUGCCUCAUUCUCCUCUUUGCUUUCGUCUCCCAAGGAUUUGGGUGUUAUGGACCCGGAACCUUUGAGGAUAUAUAUCUGAAGCAAUCCAAAACCGGAAAAAUGAUCAAGAAUAUACCAGAAUGGGAAGUGAGAGUGACGAACCCUUGCACCUGCACAGGCACUCGCAUAGUGUUGACAUGUGUCGGUUUUAAAUCGCUCACGCCCAUCGACCAUUCACAGAUAUCGAUAUCCGGUAACGAGUGUAAGAUAACCAAUAAUCUAUAUGGUCAUACUGAUUUCGUUUUCAAAUACGUAUGGACCAAGAAGUUUGAUAUCCAAAUGGAGUCGGGCGGAAUCACUUGCUCUUAAAUUUUCUGCCCUCGCAUUAAUUUGGUAUUUGUUCAUGUGUUGUUAGUUGAUGAACAUGUAAAACUGAUGAUCAUUAUUACACACACAUAUAUAUAGACUAAUAAAGAUGUACUCGUUUUAUUA